rnacentral:lncRNA from 1 species
UUAUUUUUAUUUUAUCCUUUCAUGAUAGCCAAGAGAAAACUUAGUAAUAUUGAGGGAAUUGGAUCCUCCAGCAGAGUCCAUUAAUAUACAAAAGAUACUCAAAAUUUCAUUCAUAUUGUAAUCGGAUGCAAUGUGUCUGGGUGCUAUCUUGGGAUACAUAUGUUUUAAUUAUCAUAAAAGGCCUAAACGGGAUUUCUUAGACAUGUGAAUUUUGUGAUACUUCAAGCACAAUUAUUUUGUCAGACUCUGAUCGAGCCCAAAUUGAAUUAUGAACCAGUUUUAUGCAGAUUAAUGUGUUGAAUUGAAACAAUGAAGUUCUAUCAAGCUUCAGUUUAAUUUUGUGAUCUCUACUGGAUAACAACUUAUUUUUAUUCAUUGUUUUUCUGUUGACUUGGGUGUUUCAGGAGCUAUAAAUCUACGAAUGUGCUGCUCCGGCAAAGUUUAUAGGGAUAUGGAUUGUCUACCUUUGUUUGAGAGAAUUCGGAAAAAUGUGAAGAAAUUUGGAAGGAAAAGAUGAUAGAUAUGAGGAAACGUAUGUGUUUUUCCCUCUCUAAGAAUUAACAACUAACAAGUGUUCUUUUUUCAAUGAUUAUAUAGCCACGGAAAUUAUAUGAAACAAAAGAGGCAUACAAAUGAUGUGUCGACAUGCUUUCUUUGCAUACUAGGGAGAUUCUAAUCAAUGAGAGGAAUUCCAUGUUCCCUGCAUUUCUCCUAGAGGUAAAUAUUUGCUUCCUCAUCUUUUAUUAAAGUGUUCUAUUAUGAAGUUUUCUUUGAUCUAGGAAAUUAAAAAGCGCUUCUCAACAGAAAAGCAAGGGAUAAUAAUAUAAAAGAUAUAGUUGUUACUCCUCAAAGCUUUAGAGAACAUUUUUCUACAGGACCCAACAUCCAUCAAUAAAUCAAGGAAAGAUUUAAGUUUACAGUAGAUAUUAUAUAGAACAAGAAACAACUUUAAGACCAGACUAUAAAAUAAUCUGACCAAUAUAUAUAUAAGAAUCCAUAUCACAAACUAAAUAGAAAAACUACAAUCUAAUUGAGUAGUUGUAACAGAAAGGUAUACCAAAAAGUACUGAUAUGACAUACUAAGGUCCAAGAUCUUCUAGCUAUUGUUCAAAACACAAGUUGAAACUGCAACUGGUUGAUAAAUCAGGCUCCUUUUGAAAAUCUUUAAAUUAACAUAAAAAAAGUUGAUUCUGGUUUAGGCACAUCCAAAAGAGUUGAUUCUUGUUUAGGCACACUCAAAAGGUCUUUAAGCCCACUAGUUAAGGUAAAUCUUGAUGUCAAGAAUGCUCCAAGGAAGCUCAAAGCCUACACCGCAAUUAAAGGGAAUCAAAGAGGCUAAAAUAACAAAAAAAGAAAAUAUUUAGAGAUAAAUAAUAGCGCAUUACCUCAGCUUCACCAAUGCUUAUCACAUUCGCUUCAAGAUCGUCAAGAGAAAGGCUUAAUUCUUUCAAACAUAAAAGGAAAGAAUUAGCAGAAUGUGGUUUUACUUUUAGAUCAUUUUCUACACAAUAUAAUGCUGCUCUCUUUACAAAUCCCAUAUCGACUUCUUUUGAUCCGUUGAGUGAUCUUGGGUCCAGUGCAAUCAAGGAUUUUGCAUGAUAAAUUGAUUCAUGUGACUUAGAAAUCACUCCUCCCUCUAUCAUUGCUUUUACCGUGUCAUAAUAAUUACGCCAAAGAACUCUAUGCGUAAACACUUGCUUUGGUGUACCUGUACCAUAAUAAUAUGUAAUAGGUGGUGGUUGUACUUCAGGAAUGUUGAGGGGCUGGUUUCGACAACCAAACUGGUGUGCUACACCAGGAUUGAGUAAGACAGUGCGUGAGUCAGUACACCAAGAAGAGUCCAAGUUCUCCACACUCUUGUACAAAUUACCAACACAUCCAGCAAAAUUAUUAGCCCCUAAAAGAUUUACAACUGACCCUAAUGGCACCGCAAGGAAGCUAAAAAUGAAGUCAACAAAAUCUCCAUUAGUUUCUGCAAAGACUAUAUUUUUUUUAGAUUUACUUUGAAUUACUUUAACAUCAAUUUUCUUGGUGUCACUGGUGCAAGGCGUUACUUUAACUGUCGAUGCGAAUUGGUUAGGUGGGAUUUCCUUGUUCUUUGAGCUACUUCCCAAAAUCGUAUUUGUGAGAGGCUCAUGAGAGGUUAAGGUAUACUUGAGGAGGUUCAAUAUCUAUACAAAAUGUUAAAACAUAAAUGGCAAGCAUAACAAUUAAAUAAACUGAUACGAACUCGAAUUUAGAAAGAAGAAAUUAUAAAAUUGAUUGGAAAUAGAUGUAUUUCAGAAGUAAAUACACGGUAACACCAUUACCUCCUGUUUGCCAAUGUUGUGUGUGACUUCCUCUAUUUGAGUCAAGUCUGAAUAACCCAAUUCCAUCAAUAGCUGCAUGGAAGUCACAGAGGAACUUGGCACAAUCUUUAAAUCAUCGGACACCAGAAACAAUGAUCCAUUUUCUUUUACAAAGACCCCAUUUUGUGCAUUAUUCCCUUGACCCUCAGAAUCCAAAUUCUUAUGAAGGUUUUGAAAAGUAGUAAACGUGUUACAAGAAUCUCACACACAAAAAACUUACUUGAUGGCUCACUGUUAUCAACAUUCAAGAACAGGUUCAUGCAAAGAGAUUCACAUGGAUUCCUGGGAUUCAGCAACAUGUGUCUGCAGAAAGGGUUGUUCCAAACAUCGUUCGAGAUGUUUUGGACUGUUUUGUAUAGGUUUUUUAUAUUGCCAAGGAAUGAUGAUGAUUGUGAUCGUCGUUGUUGUUGAUCAUUGUUGUUGUCGUUGUUGUUUGAUAAAAGGCGAACGAUGGUGCCAAGUGGAAGAGAUAGGAAGCUGAAGAUAGUGUCAACAAAGUCCUUUGUUGCUUCCACAAAAACAACUUUGUUUCUUUGUUUGUCCACUAAGAUUUUCAGGGGAAUUGUUCUUGUAUCUUCUUGUGGUUGUUCAGAAGCCAUGGCAACACGUUAUUGUAUAACUCAAAAGUCAUUGGAUUAACCUGUGAUUUAUGUAUAUUUGAUUUUUACUAUCAGAAGUCCAAAUAUCAACCGUUUCAUUUUUUGGUGAAUUUCUCAAUUUUCAAAAUUGCUACUACACUUCCCUAUAUGCCAUUGUGACUAAUUACCAUUCAUUUCCCUUUUCUUUAUUCCAACGGCGGUUCAGAUUCUUACUGCUCUUUUCUUUAUUCCACGGCGGUUCAUUUAUCACAUUUAUAGUUAAGGAAGUAAAUAUAGUAGUUUUUGCAUCGAAAAAAUUGUGUAAUUAAUUUCUUAAAAGUUAAAAAAGUGUUUUUUUUAAUUUAUUCUUUUCUUUUUUAGGUACCUUAGCAUGUGCCCGGGGGCAUCGGUUAACACAACCCAUUAGAAAAAAACAAUGUUUUAUAUUUACUGAAUAAUUAAUAUAUUUUAUCUAUAAAUGUGACUGAAUAUAUUAGUUAUUCUAUGAACUAAACAAAUAUUUUUUUCGCUUAUAAAUGUAAUAAGAGGGAUGAGUCAUAUUUUUAUUUUUUUUGAUAGAGAGGGAUGAGUGAUAUUAUAUGCGUUAAAUGUAUCAUCUUGAUGUUUUGUGGCUGAACAAUUCUUGUAUAAAGGAUCAGAGGGAGUAUUAACUUAAAUAGAUUUUUUAUUUACAAAAUUGUAUUUUGGAUAUCCAAAUUGUAUUGGUAACUUUGUUAGAAGCCAUACAAAUCGAACUAUAUAUAAACAUUUAAUUUUUUUUUUUUAGAUUAUUUUUUGUCUCUAAACUUAUUCGAAGGGACAAAAUUUUGGUACAUUUUUUUAUGUGUUUUUCGUAUAAUUUUUAAUUAUCC